ensembl:snoRNA
UUUUUUUUUUUUUUGCUGCUAUAGUCUCCCAGUGAUAUGAGCAGUUGUACGCAUGCGAUAAAAUAAUAUUAGACCAUUGUAAAUUGAGAUGAAGUAACCAUUUUCAUCUCUUCUGUGUGUACUAGACAUUG